CUAAAACCUUACCCCUUCAUACAGGAAGAAAAGCUGGUCAGCCUUACUCUUGAAUUCCUUCCAUCUGUCUGGCUUCCUCACUCUCUUUCUAUUUAAAAAAAUCCUUAAGCAUGGAGGGAAGCCCCGGCUUCACUACUUCAAUGGAAGAGGCAGGAUGGAAUCCAUCCGAUGGCUCUUGGCUGCAGCUAGAGUAGAGGUGGAACCCUGAUGUAUGGACAACACUUGCCCAUGGUCGAAACUCAUGGAAUGAAUUUGGUAGAAACCAGAGCCAUCCUAAGAUAGAUAGCUGCAAAGUAUGACUUGUAUGGAGGGAACCUGAAGGAGCAAGCCUGGAUUGAUAUGUAUGUAGAAGGCUUGAAGGACCUGAGUGACAUAAUUAUGUUCUUGCCACUGUCUCUGCCUGAAGAGGAGAUGAAUCUUGCAUACAUCCUUGAAAAAGCCACUACAAGAUUCUUCCCUGUCUGUGAGAAGGCACUGAGAGACCACUGACAAGAUUUUCUUAUGUGCAAUCGGCUGAGCCGGGCUGAUACACAGCAACCUGAAGUUAUCUUAAUGACUGAAGAGUGCAAACCCAGUGUCCUCUUGGGCUUUCCUCUGCUACAGUGUCAAGAGCAAAACAUUACCCCAUACCUAGCUUCAUUACUGGAAGAUGGACUCCUGAUUCAGCAAUACUCAUUAACAGAAAUUCAAGGCCAGAAGCAGCCACAUCCCCACAAUUAAUAAAUUUCUCCAACCUGGAAGCCAAAGGAAGUCUCCACCGGAUGAAGAAUCCAUUGAGACUGUGAAG